CUGGUGGUGGCCAGGUGGUUGCCGCAACAGAAUCAAAAUCUGUUUCUCUUGAGCUGUGCAGGUUCGAAACCUGCCGAUCACA